rnacentral:tRNA from 1 species
AUCAGAGUGGCGCAGUGGAAGCGUGGUGGACCCAUAACCCACAAGUCUGAGGAUCGAAACCUUCUUCUCAUA